UACGUAGGGUGCGAGCGUUGUCCGGAAUUAUUGGGCGUAAAGAGCGUGUAGGCGGCCAGGUAGGUCUGCUGUGAAAACUCGAGGCUCAACCUCGAGACGUCGGCGGAAACCAUCUGGCUAGAGUCCGGAAGAGGAGAGUGGAAUUCCUGGUGUAGCGGUGAAAUGCGCAGAUAUCAGGAGGAACACCAAUAGCGAAGGCAGCUCGCUGGGACGUUACUGACACUGAGGCGCGAAAGCCGUGGGGAGCGAACAGG
rnacentral:rRNA from 1 species